rnacentral:misc_RNA from 1 species
GGCUUGAUGGCCUUGAAGAAUCCCAUCCGAUUGAGGUUGAGAUAAAUCAUGCUUCUGAGAUUGAUGAAAUAUUUGAUGCUAUAAGCUAUAGAAAAGGUGCCUCUGUUAUCCGAAUGCUGCAAAGCUAUCUUGGUGCUGAAUGCUUUCAGAGGUCUCUUGCUGCAUACAUCAAAAAAUAUGCUUACUCAAACGCAAAGACAGAACACUUGUGGGCUGCCCUUGAGGAAGGAUCUGGUGAGCCUGUGAACAAGCUAAUGAAUUCAUGGACGAGGCAAAAGGGAUACCCUGUUGUAUCUGUCAAACUUAAAGAUCAGAAAUUGGAAUUUGAACAGUCACAAUUCUUUUCAAGUGGUUCCCAUGGAGAUGGACAGUGGAUUGUCCCAAUAACUUUAUGCUGUGGCUCAUAUGANNNAUUGCAAACAAAAUCUGAAACUCUUGAUGCUAAGGAAGCCAGUCUUGCAGACAUCAGAAGUGCUUGGGUAAAACUUAAUGUACAUCAAACCGGUUUCUAUAGGGUGAAAUAUGACGAGGAUCUUGCAGCUAGACUUAGAUAUGCCAUAGAGAAGAAAUAUUUGACUGAAACAGACAGAUUUGGCAUUUUGGAUGAUUCAUUUGCCCUUUGCAUGGCUCGUCACCAGUCUUUGGUCUUGUUGCUUACUCUGAUGGGUGCUUACAGGGAGGAACUUGAGUAUACUGUGCUCUCUAACUUGAUUACGAUAAGUUACAAAGUUACAAGGAUUGCAGCAGAUGCAGCCCCUGAAUUAUUGGAUUACAUUAACCAAUUUUUUAUUAAUCUUUUCCAAUAUUCUGCAGAGAAGCUUGGUUGGGACCCUAAACAAGGUGAAAGCCAUCUUGAUUCAAUGUUGAGAGGAGAAAUUUUGACUGCCCUUGCUGUGUUUGGACAUGAUCUGACAUUAAAUGAAGCAAGUAGGAGAUUUCAUGCAUUUGUAGAUGACAGAAAUACACCACUCCUUCCACCUGAUAUAAGAAAGGCAGCAUAUGUGGCAGUAAUGCAGAGAGUUAGCACUUCAAAUAGAUCGGGUUAUGAAUCUCUCCUGAGAGUCUAUAGGGAGACUGAUCUAAGCCAGGAGAAGACUCGCAUUCUGAGUUCAUUGGCAUCUUGUCCAGACCCCAAUAUAGUUCUUGAAGUUCUUAACUUUGUGUUGUCUUCUGAGGUUCGGAGUCAAGAUGCUGUUUUUGGACUUGCUG